rnacentral:rRNA from 1 species
AACGAACGCUGGCGGCAGGCCUAACACAUGCAAGUCGAGCGCGCCCUUCGGGGUGAGCGGCGGACGGGUGAGUAACGCGUGGGAACGUGCCCUUUUCUACGGAAUAGCCUCGUGAAACUGAGAGUAAUACCGUAUACGCCCUUUGGGGGAAAGAUUUAUCGGAAAAGGAUCGGCCCGCGUUGGAUUAGGUAGUUGGUGGGGUAAUGGCCUACCAAGCCGACGAUCCAUAGCUGGUUUGAGAGGAUGAUCAGCCACACUGGGACUGAGACACGGCCCAGACUCCUACGGGAAGCAGCAGUGGGUAAUCUUAGACAAUGGGGGCAACCCUGAUCUAGCCAUGCCGCGUGAGUGAUGAAGGCCUUAGGGUUGUAAAGCUCUUUCAGCUGGGAAGAUAAUGACGGUACCAGCAGAAGAAGCCCCGGCUAACUCCGUG